rnacentral:rRNA from 1 species
UACGGGGGGUCCAAGCGUUGUUCGGAAUCACUGGGCGUAAAGCGCAUGUAGGUGGCUUUUCAAGUCAACUGUGAAAGCCCAGGGCCUAACCCUGGAAGUGCAGUUGAUACUGUUGAGCUUGAGUACGAGAGAGGAUAGUGGAAUUUCUGGUGUAGUGGUGAAAUACGUAGAUAUCAGAAGGAACAUCGGUGGCGAAGGCGGCUAUCUGGCUCGAUACUGACACUGAGAUGCGAAAGCGUGGGGAUCAAACAGG